UGCAUGAGUGUCAUCCAGCCAGCCAUGUUGGAGCCAGGGUCAAGUGGAGGAGAACGUGGCAGUCCGGAAGCUUUCAAGUCAGCCAGGCAUCUUUCUGGGUCAUGAAGAAACUCCCUUCCUUCUCCAUCACAGCUCCUCACUUCCUGCACUGCUGACCAUCUCCCUGCCCUGCUUCAGGAUGCCCUCAGCCUUUGGAUGGCGAAAGAGUUAACCCGGGGAAGCCACGCGUGCGGGCUAAGGAGCGGCCACCGCACACUUCACCUGGGUGACCAGGGUAUCCUGAGACACACUCCUGUGCCCGGGACAGCCGAGGUGCUUGAACUCGGCUGUGGAAACAAGGGUCAUGGGAAGCAGAGGCUGCCAGGCCCUUGCGGUUCUGUCACGGCACUUGUCCCCAGGCAGUCCCAGCACGUCUGCCUGACCGGACCGCAGGACCACAGUACUCGUUGCUGUUCCACACUAAGCAGCCGGAUGUGAACAUCAGUGUCCGCGCGGGACUGUGCGCUCCUCGAUCCCAAGGAGCCCAACACACAAAGUCGUGUGAAAUUGCUACAUUGCCCCUGCAGCUUAGUGACUACCUUAAUUUAGGAGACAAAGAAAAGGCAGUUCAAAAUGUAAAUCUUGAUGAUGCUGUAGAAGGUAUUCCUUGAGGAAUCCUUGUCGGUUUCCUCACACUGGAGCUCCUGGCCCGAGUGUGCGAGCGGUGAAGGGGAAAGAAUGGGUUCAAAACUCGCUUUGCCUCUGUGCCGGUUUCUGCCACUUGGAGGGUCUAUUUUUCAUCAUUAAAAACUCCGAGGCAGAGACGGGAUGGAGACUGGUUUGAGGCUAAGAAGACUUAAGGUCUAGUUUCCACUAGAUCUCUUACUUGCCGGUGGCCUUGGCUGUGCCAUGUAUCCCCUCCGAGCCUGUUUCACACUCCCACAGAAUGGGGUGCCGACAGCCCCACUGCUUGCCCCCCAGCACUGCUGUGAACACUAAUUUGGGUGGCGGGUGCUAAGGAUGCCAUGCACACAGUAGGUCCCAUGUGCAUGAUACCAAUCUCGUUGUUGUUCCACUGACUAAGCACUUGAAAUAAACUCAUUUAUAUCCCUCGCAUCCUUAUCUCACCACACUAAUACACUGAUGAUUAAAAAAAAAACAAGUUCCAUUUCUGCAAAAAACGACACACAAAGAAAAAUACUAUUUCUGAGCCAACACCAUCCUAGGUCUGUUGAGAGAUGUGAUUUGUACAUUUUGACAAUAUUCCCAGGAGCAAAAUGUGUGAGACGGUCGUUUCUAACUUCUACCUUUUACUUCUUUUUUAUUCCCCACUUAG